GUAGGUGGCAAGCGUUGUCCGGAAUUAUUGGGCGUAAAGCGCGCGCAGGCGGGUUCUUUAAGUCUGAUGUGAAAGCCCACGGGCUCAACCGUGGAGGGUCAUUGGAAACUGGAGAACUUGAGUACAGAAGAGGAAAGCGGAAUUCCACGUGUAGCGGCGAAAUGCGUAGAGAUGUGGAGGAACACCAGUGGCGAAGGCGGCUUUCUGGUCUGUAACUGACGCUGAGGCGCGAAAGCGUGGGGAGCAAACAGGAUUAGAUACCCUGGUAGUCCACGCCGUAAACGAUGAGUGCUAAGUGUUAGGGGGUUUCCGCCCCUUAGUGCUGCAGCUAACGCAUUAAGCACUCCGCCUGGGGAGUACGGCCGCAAGGCUG
rnacentral:rRNA from 1 species